rnacentral:rRNA from 1 species
GACGAACGCUGGCGGCGUGCUUAACACAUGCAAGUCGAGCGGAGCGGCGAACGGGUGAGUAACGCGUGAGUAACUGCCCCCCUCCCUGGGAUAACAGUUGAAAACGGCUGCUAAUACCGGAUAGCGGGGGAUGACUCGCGUCCUAUCAGCUUGUUGGUUGGGUAGUGGCCUACCAAGGCGACGACGGGUAGCCGGCCUGAGCGGGCGACCGGGCACAGUGGGCUAAGAGACGGCCCAAACUCCUACGGGAGGCAGCAGUGGGGAAUAUUGCACAAUGGGGGAAACCCUAAUGCAGCAACGCCGCGUGCGGGAUGACGGCCUUCGGGUUGUAAACCGCUUUCAGCCAUGACGCGGUAGUGGCAGAAGAAGCACCGGCUAACUACGUGCCAGCCGCCGCGGUAAUUC